rnacentral:misc_RNA from 1 species
GAUCUCCGCAAUCUCACCGGCGAUGUCGAUCUCAAUCCCUCGUAGAAACCUCUUCAUCGACGGCGAGUGGGUGGAGCCCGUCCAGGGCAAACGGAUCUCCAUCAUCAACCCCGCCACCGAGGAGUCGAUCGGCGAUAUCCCGGCGGCCACCGCCGAGGAUGUCGACCUCGCCGUCGACGCUGCCAGGCGGGCCCUCACCAGGAAUCGCGGCAAGGAUUGGGCCCGCGCCUCCGGGGCCGUCCGCGCCAAGUACCUCCGCGCCAUCGCCGCCAAGAUAACAGAGAGAAAGCCUGACCUGGCUAAGCUAGAGUCUCUGGAUUGUGGGAAGCCUUUGGAUGAGGCAGCAUGGGACAUUGAUGAUGUUGCUGGGUGUUUUGAGUUCUAUGCAGAUCUUGCUGAAGGCUUAGAUGGGAAGCAAAGGGCUCCUAUUGCCUCUCCUAUGGAAUCUUUUAAGAUCCAUGUUCUUAAAGAACCCAUUGGAGUUGUUGGGUUGAUCACUCCCUGGAACUAUCCUCUAUUAAUGGCUACUUGGAAGGUUGCUCCAGCUUUGGCUGCUGGUUGUGCAGCUGUACUAAAGCCUUCUGAACUGGCCUCAGUGACUUGUUUGGAGCUUGCUGAUGUGUGUAAAGAAGUAGGGCUACCUAGUGGUGUCCUAAAUAUUGUGACUGGAUUGGGUCCUGAAGCUGGUGCGCCCUUAGCAUCACAUCCUCAUGUUGACAAGAUCGCCUUCACUGGGAGUACAGAGACUGGCCGAAGAAUCAUGACUGCUGCAGCACAACUUGUCAAGCCUGUUUCACUAGAGCUUGGUGGCAAAAGUCCCCUUAUUGUAUUUGAAGAUGUUGACAUUGAGACAGCUGUUGAGUGGACUCUCUUUGGGUGCUUUUGGACCAAUGGUCAAAUAUGCAGUGCAACUUCUCGUCUUCUUAUACAAGAAAGCAUAGCGGAAAAAUUCUUAGAUAGGCUUGCUGUUUGGGCCAAAAAUAUCAAGAUUUCAGAUCCACUAGAAGAAGGUUGCAGACUCGGCCCUGUUGUCAGUGAAGGGCAGUACGCCAAGAUAAACAAAAUUAUUUCGACAGCCAAGAGCGAAGGUGCAACUAUUUUAUGUGGCGGUGGACGCCCCAAGCAUCUAGAGAAGGGAUUCUAUAUUGAACCAACAAUCAUAACGAACGUGAGCACCUCCAUGCAAAUCUGGAGGGAGGAGGUUUUUGGUCCGGUUCUCUGUGUCAAGACAUUUGCAACAGAAGAUGAAGCUAUCGAACUUGCAAAUGAUACUCAUUAUGGUCUAGGUGGUGCCGUGAUCUCCAAGGAUCCAGAGAGAUGCGAGCGUUUGACAGAGGCCAUUCAGGCUGGGAUUAUAUGGGUGAACUGUUCGCAGCCAUGCUUCUGCCAAGCUCCUUGGGGAGGGACGAAGCGCAGCGGUUUUGGACGGGAACUUGGUGAAUGGGGUCUCGAAAACUACUUGAGUGUGAAACAGGUGACAACAUACGUGUCGAAUGAGCCAUGGGGAUGGUAUGUGUCUCCAUCCAAGUUGUGAGCGGGCACAGCCUCGACUGAGUGAUGUCGAACCAGAAGGUCUUUACUGUUUGGCAAGAAUAAGUUGUCUUUCCUAUGUGAACAUGUAUUCAGAUCCUUAACAUGGAUAAUGUAACACUAGUAAAACAGACUAGACUAGACUAGACGGAAAUAAAUGUGUUCUGUGUCGCUCUCGGGUCGUGUUAGAUUGCGACUCGGAUUGAAGGGUUACUAAUAAGGGCUUCUUUCAGAGUCAGAGAUUUGCGACGCUCUCUCUGACUAUGAGGACGACAUAGGUGACUUACAUGGUGG